GGCGCUGCGGCACAGCGGGUUAAAGCCCCGGCCUGCAGUGCCGGCAUCCCAUACGGGCGCCGGUUCAAAUCCCGCCUGCUCCA
rnacentral:tRNA from 1 species